rnacentral:rRNA from 1 species
GACCUCAGCUCGGGUGAGACUACCCCCUGGAUUAAAGCAUUUCAAUAAGGGGAGGAAAAGAAA